GCCCCUGUUCCGGCUUCGUUCUGGCUCCCUUGGUAAGGGAGAGGUCGAGAGUUCAAUCCUCUCUCGCAGCACCA
rnacentral:tRNA from 1 species